rnacentral:rRNA from 1 species
GUUAAGAAGAUUUUUUGGAUGAAACUUGAUUGACUGAGCGGCGGACGGGUGAGUAACGCGUGGGUGACCUGCCCCAUACCGGGGGAUAACAGCUGGAAACGGCUGCUAAUACCGCAUAAGCGCACAGAGGUGCAUGGCUCGGUGUGAAAAACUCCGGUGGUAUAAGAUGGACCCGCGUUGGAUUAGCUUGUUGGUGGGGUAACGGCCCCCCAAGGCGACGAUCCAUAGCCGGCCUGAGAGGGUGAACGGCCACCUUGGGACUGAGACACGGUCCCGACUCCUUCGGGAGGCAGCAGUGGGGAAUAUUGCCCAAGGGGGGAAACCCUGAUGCAGCCCUGCCGCGUGUGUGAAGAAGGCCUUCGGGUUGUAAAGCACUUUCAGCGAGGAGGAAAGGUUGUUGGGUAAUAUCCAACAGCUGUGACGUUACUCGCAGAAGAAGCACCGGCUAACUCCGUG